GUAUCGAAUAUUGCUCAUUCAUUCAAAUGUGCCAGUCACUAGAGAUCCAACAGUGAGCAAGCAACAGCUCUUCUUGUCCUCAUGGAAACCAGAAGGCACACCGAACCUGCUACCAGAUUCUCAACGUCAGAUUACAGAAGGAUAAAGCAAGAGAGAUUGUGGGAUUUUCUGAAAGUCACACAGAGCUGGCUGGAACCCAUGACUUCUGAUGCCCAGGUCACCGCCUUGGGAGCUGAAGACUCUUCUUUCAAAAAUGAAGGCCUUACAUUCUCCUUCUUGAGGCUUCUGUACAGCAUCCCUACCUCCUCUACUAAUCAACAGCAAUGGAGAAUUGGAAUGGAAGGCACUUAACUUUUCCAGCCUCAUCUCCCAGGCGCCAGAGAUUCCAUGCAGGAGACAAGGCCCUGGUGGGUGGUGAGGUGAUACCACUGGAAGCCCCACCCUCAAGGGUCAGGAGUGAGGUAGACUCAGAUACACAAUGUGUGGAGAUUGAGGGGUUCUGUUUAGUCAUUUGAAAUGUUCCUAAGGGGGUGGGUGGCUUCAGAAUUUCCAGAGAUGUGUGUAUUGGAGAUGCAAAGUGAAGAUGAAGUAAAAUCUCUGCUCCUUGGUGCCAGUGGCAGCGUGGAAAUGGCACAGGGAACAGCAAAGGGUGGUAGAAAGUGCACAUGGCUAGCAGCUUGCUAUGCGGCCUGGGAAAAUCAUCCCCUCUCUGGACCUUAGUUUCCUCGUCUCUAAAAUGAGCAAGUUGGACUCAAUUCUGUGUGUUUUAAUAUUUAUUUGUUGAUUACUCUAUAUUUUCUCUUAAAUUUUAAACAUGUGACUAGAAUAUUUUCUAUUUCUCAUGAAAUAAAGGUUAAAUGAAUUUACUUUGUACUGAUGUGGCUUUGGUCAGUAUCACAAUUGGCUAGUAGCACAUAAUGGAAAAUAAAAACCUUUCUCUUUGAUGGC